UAAAGAUCAUUCCAGAAUGUUGACUUUUGACCCUGAUGUGUUUGAUGAACUCAACAUACAGGGCUCUUAUAUAACAAAAAGGAAUGAGCACAAAGAAUGAAUAUGUUGUUCCUGUUCUGUACUUCAUGUAUUUCAAGGAAAGGUAAGUUAUUUAACCAAUUUGUCUGUUAAAAUGAUUUUGAUUCACAGAGAAGCUGCUUGAACCUACUUCUGUCUCAUUUCUAAGGGUACAGUAAAAUCUGUACUUGUGUUAGGGACCAUAUACUUCUACUGAUGAAACAAGAAUAUUGCUCUCUUGGCAGAUACGUGAAGAGAUCUUACGUAUAUAACAAUUUAGCAUUUGCUACUUUAUGAGCUGUAACUUGAUGUACAGUAUAUUACCUCAUUGUACCUCUGAGCAAAUAGACUUGUAAAACACUGAAUGCAGUUCCAAAUGUAAAGUGAUAUAAAUGUGCUUUCAGGUAUUCUCAUUUUGAGUAAUGUUUUAUUAAAUAUUUAGGAGAAAAGUAGGCAAAAAUACAUUCAUG
rnacentral:lncRNA from 1 species